AGUGAACGCUGGCGGUAGGCCUAACACAUGCAAGUCGAACGGCAGCACAGUAAGAGCUUGCUCUUACGGGUGGCGAGUGGCGGACGGGUGAGGAAUACAUCGGCAUCUACUUUUUCGUGGGGGAUAACGUAGAGAAACUUACGCUAAUACCGCAUACGACCUACGGGUGAAAGCAGUGGAUCUUCGGACCUUUCGCGAUUGAAUGAGCCGAUGUCGGAUUAGCUAGUUGGCGGGGUAAGGGCCCACCAAGGCGACGAUACGUAGCUGGUCUGAGAGGAUGAUCAGCCACACUGGAACUGAGACACGGUCCAGACUCCUACGGGAGGCAGCAGUGGGGAAUAUUGGACAAUGGGCGCAAGCCUGACCCAGCCAUACCGCGUGAGUGAAGAAGGUCUUCGGGUUGUAAAGCCCUUUUGUUGGGAAAGAAAAGCAGUAGGUGAAUACCCCGCCGUCCUGACGGUACCUAAAGAAUAAGCACCGGCUAACUUCGUG
rnacentral:rRNA from 1 species